GCUUUCCUUUUCUCCAUGUGCCUUGGGUUUCAGUUCGCAUUUCUGAUUUCAUAAAUGGACACAAUGCUCGAAGCCUUCUUUCCAUACAUACACAGCACAGUCUCUGGUUGUACUUAGAAGAUGUUCUUGUUUUUUUAUUUUUUUAAGACAGGGUUUCUCUGUGUAGCCCUGGCUGUCCUGGAACUCACUCUGUAGACCAGCCAAGAAACCCUAUCUCAAAAAACAAGCAAGCAAACAACACACACAAUAUUACAUCAUUCUCUCCAUCCAUCACCCACGUCCUGUUAUCCCUCUCAGUAAACUCUCUUUCAAAUUUAUGACUUUUUAUUCUUUAACUAUCAUUGUUUGUAUGUGUAUGUGUGUAUGUAUGUGUGUGUCAAUAGGUACAUAAGUACAACCUAUUGAGUCCAUUUAC
ensembl:antisense Gm44674 predicted gene 44674